AGAGUUUGAUCCUGGCUCAGGACGAACGCUGGCGGCGCGCCUAACACUUGCAAGUCGAACGAGCGGGUCACAUCUUGCUUACUCGAUCGAGUGGGAAACGUGUGAAUAACGUGUGAGGAAUCUGUCUCAAAGAGGGGUACACUACCUGGAAGCAAAUGCUAAUACCGUAUAAUCGCACCUCUCGGUGUCGAACAAAUGGAAAGAGAGCUCUCCGAUUAGAUAUGCCUCGCGUCCGAUUACCUAUUUGGUGAGGUAACGGUCCACCAAGGCAACAAUCGUUACCCGGACUGAAAGGUUGAACGGCCACUUGGGGACUGAAACACGGCCCAAACUCCUACGGAAGGCACCAUUGGGGAAUAUGGCACAAUGGGGGAAACCCUGAUGCACCGACCCCGCUUGGUGGAAAAAGGUCUUCGGAUGGUAAACUCCUGUUGUUGAGGAAAAUAUUGACGGUACUCAACAAGGAACUGACGGCUAACUACUUGCCAGCAGCCGCGGUAUAACUUAGGUCACAAGCGUUGUCCGGAAUUACUGGGUGUAAAGGGAGCGCANGCGGAAAUGCAAGUUGGAUGUGAAAUCCAUGGGCUCAACCCAUGAGCUGCUUUCAAAACUGUAUNUCUAGAGUACUGCAGAGGUAAGCGGAAUUCCCGGUGUAGCGGUGAAAUGCGUAAAUAUCGGGAGGAACACCAGUGGCGAAGGCGGUCUACUGGACUCGCACUGACGCUUAGGCUCGAAAGUGUGGGUAGCAAACAGGAUUAGAUACUAUGGUAGUGCACACUGUGAACGAUGAUUAGUAGGUGUUGGAGGAUUGACUCUUUCAGUGCCGCAGUUCACACAAUAAGUAAUCCAGCGUGGGGAGUACGACAGACAAGGAUGACACUCAAAGGAAUGGACGGGGGCCCGCACAAGCAGUGGAGUAUGUGAUUAAUUCGACGCAACGCGAAGAACCUUACACAAGUCAUGACAUCCUGUGACGCACAUAGAGAUAUGUGCUUUCCUUCGGCAGGCAGACAGCAGGUGGCAGCAUGGUCGUCAUCAGCUCUCGUCGUGAGAUGUUGGAAUUAGUCCCGCAAGGAGAACCACCCUUAUGGUCAGUUACUACGCAAGAGGACUCUGGCCAGAGUGCCCUCGACAAAACGGAGGGAGAUGGGGAUAACAUCUCAUAAUCAUACCCCCUAUAAGUUGGGGUACACACAUAUUACAAUGGGGCUAACACAAGAGAAGCCAAGCCGCGAGGGGAGACCAAAAUCAGAAACCACGUCCCAGUUCGGAUUGCAGGCUGCAACUCGCCUACACGAAGUCGGAAUUGCUAGUAAUCGCAGAUCAGCAUGUUGCGGUGAAUACGUUCC
rnacentral:rRNA from 1 species